rnacentral:rRNA from 1 species
UACAGAGGGGGCCAGCGUUAUUCGGAAUUAUUGGGCGUAAAGGGCGCGUAGGCGGCUUUGCGUGUCUUUCGUGAAAUCCCUCGGCUCAACUGAGGACGUGCGGAAGAAACUGCAGGGCUGGAGUCCGGGAGAGGAGGGUGGAAUUCCCAGUGUAGCGGUGAAAUGCGUAGAUAUUGGGAGGAACACCGGUGGCGAAGGCGGGUCUCUGGGCCGAUACUGACGCUGAGGAGCGAAAGCGUGGGAGCGAACAGG